AGCGGCGACGGGUGAGUAACACGUGGGUGACCUACCCCAGGAUUGGGGGAUAGCCUGUGGAAACACAGGGUAAUACCGCAUACGAUCCGCACACUGUGGUGAGCGGAUGAAAGGCGCGUUUGCGCCGAUCCUGGAUGGGCCCGCGGCCUAUUAGCUAGUUGGCGGGGUAACAGCCCACCAAGGCGACGAUAGGUAGCCGGCCUGAGAGGGUGAUCGGCCACACUGGAACUGAGACACGGUCCAGACUCCUACGGGAGGCAGCAGCUAAGAAUCUUCCGCAAUGGGCGAAAGCCUGACGGAGCGACGCCGCGUGGGUGAAGAAGGCGGAAACGUUGUAAAACCCUUUUCUGCGUGAGGAAUAAGGGGAGGAGGAAAUGCCUUCCUGAUGACGUUAGCGCAGGAAUAAGCCCCGGCCAAUUACGUGCCAGCAGCCGCGGUAACACGUAUGGGGCGAGCGUUGUUCGGAAUCAUUGGGCGUAAAGGGCGCGUAGGCGGCCACGCAAGUCUGGUGUGAAAGCCCACAGCUUAACUGUGGAGACGCGCUGGAAACUGUGUGGCUAGAGUUCAGGAGGGGAAGCUGGAAUUCCAGGUGUAGGGGUGAAAUCUGUAGAUAUCUGGAAGAACAUCAGUAGCGAAGGCGAGCUUCUGGCCAUGAACUGACGCUGAGGCGCGAAAGCGUGGGGAGCAAACAGGAUUAGAUACCCUGGUAGUCCACGCCGUAAACUAUGUGCACUAGGUGUCGGGUCAUUAAGGCUCGGUGCCGCAGCUAACGCGUUAA
rnacentral:rRNA from 1 species